GCUUGUAGCCAGCGGCUUUCUUGCAUUUUCCCAAGGUAAAAGGCUCCCGUGACACAUGGAAAUUGCAGCUUUGCAGGCACUCUGUUCAGGGGGAGCCUCCACAUCCUCAGCGCCACAGCAGCAACCCAGCGAGGAUAAAUAAUACAGCUAUGAAAUGAAGAAUGAAUGUAUCAUCACCACCAUUUCACAACUUUGAAUGAAUUAAUGGAUGUAGAAAUUAAUCAUCAAUAGCUGCUAGUAUCACAAAAAGAGAGAAACCAGAUGUUACAUGUUUCCUGAUGGAGAAAUACAGCAUCUAUGAAGCAAUCCUCAAAAAAAAAAAAAAAUUAGACCUGAAGCCGAUCAAGCCCAAUAUCUAACUAACAAUUUAGAGGAAACCCAAAAGACAAAGAAACAUGUACAAUGAGACCACUGGGAGCUCGAAAACUCGAGACUGCUAGAAGCUAACAACUCAGCUUCUUCAAGAAAAGGAGAGAGAGAGAGAGAGAGAAAGAGAGAGAGAGAGAGAGAGAGAGACUAUGAGAGGUAGAGGGGGAAACUAUAGAUGAAAAGAAACAUAAUAAAACAUAGCAACCAAU